rfam:Flavobacteriaceae bacterium TMED204 14950, whole genome shotgun sequence.
GGGGCCGACUGGAUUUGACAGCGAUCUAGUAGUGUUAGUAAGCAAACCGAGCGAUUAGUUAUAGCUCGUUAAUAUCAGCUAAAAACUUUAAAUGGCGAAAAUAAAUACGCUCUUGCUGCUUAAUGACUGAAUUAUAGUAAGUCUAAGCCUAGUCCUGCCAGGCAGGAAAGCGAGAUGUCUCAAAGUUGUUUUUGUUAGCAAUGACUUUUAAUGAGGCACCAUUCUGUUAACAUAGAAUAAUCAUUGCUUCAAUGAUUNUUUGAAACUUUAGAAGCUAAGUGUUGAUUGUGUAGUUUUCAGCAAGAUCAUCAUCGAAAAUUAAAUGAAAACUAAGUUUGUAGAAAGCUGAUGUUUCAGUCGUUUGGACGAGGGUUCGAAUCCCUCCGGCUCCACCA